GGCUAUCUCAGUUCCCUUGGCAGUGUUUGGUGAGAGACUUCAGGAAAGAGUCCUCAAAGGGAACAAGUUGAGCAUGGAGCCAUGUUAUCUCUUAAACUGAAUAGAAUGAAUGAUGCAAGCAAGCCUCUGCCCUCAGCAACAUCUGAGAACGCCAGGUGCUUCUUAUACAACAGAAAAGCAGAAAGUCAUAAUAUUCCAGGCAACUGGGUGUCUGAAAACAAUGAGCAAGGGAAAGAAGCAACAGCUAAACACAAC